GACGAACGCUGGCGGCGUGCCUAAUACAUGCAAGUGGGACGCAAGGAAACACACUGUGCUUGCACACCGUGUUGUCUUGAGUCGCGAACGGGUGAGUAACGCGUAGGUAACCUGCCUAUUAGCGGGGGAUAACUAUGGGAAACGAUAGCUAAUACCGCCUACUAUUAAUUAUUGCAUGAUAAUUUAUGGAAAGAUGCAAUCGACUCACUAGUAGAUGGACCUGCGUUGUAUUAGCUAGUUUGUAAGGUUAGAGCUUACCAAGGCGACGAUACAUCGCCGAACGGAGAGGGUGAUCGGCCACCCUGGGACUGAGACACGGCCCAGACGCCUACGGGAGGCAGCCGUAGGGCAACUUCGGGAAUGGACGAAAGUCUGACCGAGCAACGCCGCGUGAGUGAAGAAGGAUUUCGGAUCGUAAAGCUCUGUUGUAAGUCAAGAACGUGGGUGAGAGUGGAAAGUUCACACAGUGACGGUAGCUUACCAGAAAGGGACGGCUAACUACGUG
rnacentral:rRNA from 1 species